rnacentral:rRNA from 1 species
GAUGAACGCUGGCGGCGUGCCUAAUACAUGCAAGUCGAGCGAACAGACGAGGAGCUUGCUCCUCUGACGUUAGCGGCGGACGGGGGAGUAACACGUGGAUAACCUACCUAUAAGACUGGGAUAACUUCGGGAAACCGGAGCUAAUACCGGAUAAUAUAUUGAACCGCAUGGUUCAAUAGUGAAAGAUGGUUUUGCUGUCACUUAUAGAUGGAUCCGCGCCGCAUUAGCUAGUUGGUAAGGUAACGGCUUACCAAGGCAACGAUGCGUAGCCGACCUGAGAGGGUGAUCGGCCACACUGGAACUGAGACACGGUCCAGACUCCUACGGGAGGCAGCAGUAGGGAAUCUUCCGCAAUGGGCGAAAGCUUGACGGAGCAACGCCGCGUGAGUGAUGAAGGUCUUCGGAUCGUAAAACUCUGUUAUUAGGGAAGAACAAAUGUGUAAGUAACUAUGCACGUCUUGACGGUACCUAAUCAGAAAGCCACGGCUAACUACGUG